UAGGGAAUCUUCCGCAAUGGGCGAAAGCCUGACGGAGCAACGCCGCGUGAGUGAUGAAGGUCUUCGGAUCGUAAAACUCUGUUAUUAGGGAAGAACAAAUGUGUAAGUAACUAUGCACGUCUUGACGGUACCUAAUCAGAAAGCCACGGCUAACUACGUGCCAGCAGCCGCGGUAAUACGUAGGUGGCAAGCGUUAUCCGGAAUUAUUGGGCGUAAAGCGCGCGUAGGCGGUUUUUUAAGUCUGAUGUGAAAGCCCACGGCUCAACCGUGGAGGGUCAUUGGAAACUGGAAAACUUGAGGGCAGAAGAGGAAAGUGGAAUUCCAUGUGUAGCGGUGAAAUGCGCAGAGAUAUGGAGGAACACCAGUGGCGAAGGCGACUUUCUGGUCUGUAACUGACGCUGAUGUGCGAAGGCGUGGGGAUCAAACAGG
rnacentral:rRNA from 1 species